AUUGAACGCUGGCGGCAGGCUUAACACAUGCAAGUCGAGCGCGCGGCGGACGGGUGAGUAAUGUCUGGGAAACUCCCUGGUGGGGGGGGAUAACUACUAGAAACGGUAGCUAAUCCCGCAUACCAUCAGAUGUGCCCAGAUGGGAUGAGCUAGUGGGUGGGGUAACGGCUCACCUAGGCGACGAUCCCUAUCUGGUCUGAGAGGAUGACCAGCCACACUGGAACUGAGACACGGUCCAGACUCCUACGGGAGGCAGCAGUGGGGAAUAUUGCACAAUGGGCGCAAGCCUGAUGCAGCCAUGCCGCGUGUGUGAAGAAGGCCUUCGGGUUGUAAAGCACUUUCAGCGAGGAGGCGUUACUAGCAGAAGAAGCAACGGCUAAAUACGUGCCAGCAGCCGCGGUAAUAC
rnacentral:rRNA from 1 species